rnacentral:misc_RNA from 1 species
AGGGGCAUGCUUUACGGUUGUGGUGAUCUGAUAUUUUCAUCUCAUAUGAUAUUCUCUCUAAUCUUUGUGCGGACAUAUCAUAAAUACGGGGCAAGAAGAUAUAUAAAACUGUGUGCUUGGUUAGCUGUUAUUGCUCAGAGCUUCUUGAUUGUUGCAUCUCGCAAACAUUACACAGUGGACGUUGUUGUGGCAUGGUACACUGUUAAUCUAGUAGUGUUCUUUGUUGACAAACAGUUGGCAGAACUGCCUGACCGUACUAGUGCAGUGUUGAUUCUACCACUGAGCAAAGAUAGCAAGGCUAAGGAAGAGAAUCACAAAUUUCUGAAUGCAAAUUCUGGAGAUCCUGCAGAAUGGGUAUGGAGAAGCGUUCCGAAUUGUGUAUAGAUGUGCAUAACCCAAAUUUAUGAAAAGAUCAUUGAAGAUGGGAGCACAGUUCAUCUUGGAGCAAUGAUGAAUGGUGUAAAGACAAUAUAUGGAAUGCAACUAACCGAAGACUUCCGUUCAAUAUCAUUACAAGGUUGGUUUGACAAAUGUUCUCCAGGUUCACUAGUUUUGGUUUAU